AUGACAGAGCAGACCCAGUAUUCAUAUUGGUUUUACAUCCUUUGUUUUAAGAGUCACAUCAUCUCGAAUGUAUUAACUCACAGCAAUUUCUGUAAAACAGAGGAGUGCUCGUCUCCAUUUUAAAGAUGGCAAAAGGAUCAAAGCUGAGAUCCACAAAUGAAGAAUUGAGUGUUCGCAUUGCCCGGGCUCAAAGCCAGCACGAUAUUUCAGUUGCAAUCUGUAAAGCAUGCAGUCACUCAUCUACAUUGUUUCUGGAUUGGAGCUGGCACUUGACGGCUGGUGGGAAGAACUCCCAGUUGUCUUCACCUAUCCACCUACCUGUAGGACUGACUAGAGAGUGCAGGCAGCCUGAUCUCAAUUUCUAGUUUCAGGAGGAAAAAAGCUCUUAUUGAAGUCUGCACCAGAUGGAAAUGCAGAACCCAGCCCAUUGCAAAUGAGAUGAAUUGUUUUACAUUUGAAUUUGAUAUAAUUUAUAUUGUAAAAACUUUGUGACCUACAUCCAGCAGCAAGAUAGUCAACACUGCUUUGUUCUCACCCUUGCUUUUAUUCAUAUUUGAGUAAGCAUGCUGGAUCUGGUAGCAAAACUUUCAUUACCUGAUAUAGCAGUUUACAUUUUUCUUGUUAUUGUCAGAUCUUAGGAAAACAUUCAUCCUAAUUCUAGUCAUGAGAGCAGGGAUGUAUGCAUUUUCACAAUGGACGUUUUUUUGUUUGUUUGAGUUUUUUGACACUGCAAUUAAACCAACAAUAAUUUUAGAAUAAUUUAAUAUUGAAACUUGGAGUCCAGCAUAACAUAUAUUCUCUCAGCGAAUACCAAGAAAAAUAUCUUAAACUGCUGGGCAUCUUAAACUUCAUCCAUUGUGAUGGUUUUGCUUGGUGUAGAGUUGAUUUUGCUUUCCUAAUAUGUGUGGCUUUUGCUUUACCUAUUGAUCUGUGUUUGUCUCAACUCACAAGUUGUUUUCUCACUUUUACCCUUCAGAUUCUCUCCCACAUCCAAGUGGUGAGGAGUGAGUGAGCAGCUGUGUGGGGCUGAGUUGCUGGCUGGGGUUAAAUCACAGCAGCCAUUUCAGGAGAAAGCAUAAUGGAGAGUUUAGUCAAUUAUCUCUGGUCUUGGUACAUCUACACAAGAACACUGUAGCACUUUGUGGAGAUGUUAGUUUGGUUCUGGAAGGCUCUAUGUCCAUUCUAGUGUAGUUAUUAUGCUUCUGAGUUUCAAAGGAAAAUUAAGUUAUUUGUUCAAGGAUCACUGUGUUGUAUUUCACAGUGUGAUGCAGAAGUGCUCAUUGUAAAUCUCAUAUUGAUGUUAUGACACUAUUCACAGAAAACUAUAAAUGCCAGUAAUCUUGCUGGAGAAAACUCUCAAUUAUAAAUGUUAAACCGUGGUAUGUUCUGAACUUGUAAAGAAAUAUAACUUCUAAGAUCAGUCUUAUACAAAUAACAUAUGUUAAGGUUGUAAUAAAGUGACAUAAUAUUUUUGU